rnacentral:RNase_P_RNA from 1 species
UGAGUGGGCCAGACGGUCGCGCGAUGUGCUGCUUACAGCACGCGUGAGGAAAGUCCGGGCUCCAGAGGGCGGGAUGCCGGCUAACGGCCGGGCGGAGUGAUCCGACGGAAAGCGCCGCAGAAAAGAAGACUCCCACCUGCGCCGCAAGGCGUAAAGGGAAAAGCUGAAACGGUGGUGUAAGAGACCACCAGCGUCGUGGCAACACGGCGGCUUGGCAAGCCCCAUCCGGAGCAAGCGCGAAUAGGAACGCUAUGGGCCGGCCCGGUCCGCGUUCGGGUAGCGUGCGUGG